AUGUACAUGCUUACAACAUAGCAUUAAUGCACCAGAUCCCAUUAAAGCUCCGCAGUUAAGCAUGCUUUGGCUAGAGUAAAACUGGGAUGGGUGACUACUGGAGAAGUCCUGGUGUUUUACAUG
rnacentral:rRNA from 1 species